UCUCCGUAGGUGAACCUGCGGAGGGAUCAUUACAGGGUUCAUGCCCUACCGGUUAGAUCUCCCACCCUAUGUUAUUAUUACUUUGUUGCUUUGGCGGGCCGUUAGGCUCCGGCCCGACUACCGGCCCCGGCUGGUAAGCGCCCGCCAGAGGACCCAAAACCCUGAAUAUUAGUGUCGUCUGAGUACUAUAUAAUAGUUAAAACUUUCAACAACGGAUCUCUUGGUUCUG
rnacentral:misc_RNA from 1 species